rnacentral:hammerhead_ribozyme from 16 species
GUCCCGUCGGCGCCGGUCCGCUCGACGAGGUUCAGGAACAAAUCGAAACGGGAG